UACGGAGGGUGCAAGCGUUAUCCGGAAUGAUUGGGCGUAAAGCGUCCGCAGGCGGCAAUGUAAGUCUGCUGUCAAAGCGUCUGGCUCAACCAGAUAAAGGCAGUGGAAACUACAUAGCUAGAGUAAGGUAGGGGUAGAGGGAAUUCCUGGUGUAGCGGUGAAAUGCGUAGAGAUCAGGAAGAACACCGGUGGCGAAAGCGCUCUGCUGGACCUUAACUGACGCUGAGGGACGAAAGCUAGGGGAGCGAAUGGG
rnacentral:rRNA from 1 species